rnacentral:tRNA from 1 species
CUGGGAAUACAGCUCAGUGGUAGAGCAAUUAUUUAACACGCAUGAGGCCCUGGGUUCAAUCCCCAGUACUUAAG